UGGGGAAUAUUGGACAAUGGAGGAAACUCUGAUCCAGCAAUUCUGUGUGUGUGAAGAAGGUUUUAGGACUGUAAAACACUUUUAGUAGGGAAGAAAAAAAUGACGGUACCUACAGAAGAAGCAACGGCUAAAUACGUGCCAGCAGCCGCGGUAAUACGUAUGUUGCGAGCGUUAUCCGGAAUUAUUGGGCUUAAAGGGCAUCUAGGCGGUAAGACAAGUUGAAGGUGAAAACCUGUGGCUCAACCAUAGGCUUGCCUACAAAACUGUUGAACUAGAGUACUGGAAAGGUGGGUGGAACUACACGAGUAGAGGUGAAAUUCGUAGAUAUGUGUAGGAAUGCCGAUGAUGAAUAUAACUCACUGGACAGAAACUGACGCUGAAGUGCGAAAGCUAGGGGAGCAAACAGG
rnacentral:rRNA from 1 species